UUGGAAAUUUAGAAGCUUUGGACAGUUUGAUUGCUGAAGGAACUGCUAUAAGAGAAGUGCCGUUGUCCAUUGUUUGUUUGAACAAUUUUGAUGGCUUGCAAAAUCUAACGUCUUUAUAUCUAACUGAUUGCGGCAUCACGGAGUUACCUGAAAAUCUCGGUCAGUUAUCCUUAUUACUUGAAUUGUAUCUAGAGAAAAACAAUUUUGAGAGAAUACCAGAGAGCAUCAUACAUCUUUCUAAGUUGGCAUAUCUUAAAUUGAGUUAUUGUGAGAGGCUUCAAUCCUUACCAAAGCUUCCAUGCAAUCUAAGUGAGUUAGAUGCACAUCAUUGCACAGCACUGGAAUCAUCUCCAGGUUUAGUAUUCCCAAGUCGUGAUCCUCAGUAUUUUGAGCUAAGAAAUAAUUUGAAAUUGGAUCGCAACGAGAUCAGGGAAAUUCUCGAAGAUGCUCAGCAAGAAAUUCAGGUUAUGGCAAUAGCACGUUGGAAACAAUUACAGGAAAAGGUAUGUUGUGUCUUUUAUGAUCCUUUUAAUCUAUACAAUGUUAUUGAGUAAUGAUCUAGUGGGCGAUAGUGCUCAUCUUAUGGAGAGCGAGAGUGGCACAUCGCAUUGCUUAAUUAAUCCACAGCCUUAACGCUAUUCACUGGGAGUUGUAGAAUUCUGCCACAUAUCCAAAUGCUCAUCCAUAUGGUGGGCACUAGCGCUCACUAGAUCAUCGUUCCAAUGCUAUUUUGUUAAUUUUUUAUUUAAAAUUAAAUUUAACAACAUUUCUUCAAAAUUAUGAUCUUUGGUACAGGGAGAUUUUUUCCAAAGUUCAGGUCGAGUAUUAUUACCUGGGAAUGAAAUUCCAAAGUGGUUUAGCUUUCAAAGUUUGGGAUCUUCUUCUAUAACCUUGAAGAUGCCACCUGUAGGUUGGUUCAGUAAUAACAAAGUGAUUGGCUUUGCUUACAGCGCUGUUGUAGGAUUUCGAGACCAUCAUGUCAAAGAGAAGAGGUGGUUUAACUUGUUCUGUGAAUUCAUGAAAGCCAAACCUGAAGAUUGUACUGAGCUACUGGUCAGACGGAGUUCUCUAAGGGGAUUUAAUUAUGUAGAGUCAGAUCACUUACUUUUGGGGUACUAUUUCUUUGGUGAGCAUGAUUUUAGUGCUUUCCAGAAACACAACUGCGAUCAUGUGGCAGUCAAGUUCUAUUUAGAGGAUGAUCAUAAUCAACGUGAACGUUUGGAUUGUUGCCCGGUGAAAAAAUGUGGGAUUCAUUUAUUGUACGCCCCUGAUUCUACGGAACCCACAGAAGAUCCAAGGAGUACUCUCGGUUGAAGUAUUCUUUAAGGCAUCAUAGUAGCUGCUACUUUUCAGUAAAUUAAUAAAUCUUAUAUUCAUAAACCUUGUUUUGCUAGCUUGGUUUCUUUUCCUUCUAUCUGUUUUUAUUACUUUUCUUUAAUUCUUUUCUUCCCAUAUAUAAAUAAUUGGCUUCAAAUAUUCAUAGGGAGAUACUUGUUUUCCUUGAAUUGCCUCGUUGCAGUAUUGAACAACUUUCGGAGAGCGUCCAGGUGUGCAAUGUCAAUAAUAUUUAAUUAUCAUACACGCUACUGAUCUGCAUGUAAUGGCUUCUUUUUUGGUGAAAGCAGAAUAAUUCAUUGGUAACGCUUGAUUAAUCUCUGGUUAUAGUACUCAAUAGAUUUAGUGAGACAUUUCGUCAAACAGGUAGGUUGUAAAAAUUAUAUAGCCUAUGGUAAAAAAUUUGAAUUAGGAUAUAGAGAUACAAAGACAGGAAAAUUCUUUUGUAAUAAUUGUAAAGAUAAACAACAUGAAGACAAUACAAUAGAAAUUAGUGAACUAAUAAAUACAACCUAACCCGCACUCAUAAAAAUUAUAAAUUAUUAAACUCACCCAUAAUCGGCAGUGGGUUUUUUAUUUUUUUUAAAAAGUCCAUCUAUUGCUGGUUUUAGGGGUGGUAAAAAUACAUGUCUGAUCUAAACUCUGGCGAUGUGGACCGGAUAAUGCUAAGCUUGGGUAUGAAGCCAAACUUGUCUUGGGCAUCACUUUAUAAACUCAAGACUCGACCCAAAACUUAAAUUUUAUUAAAAAAGUAUUAUAAAAUGUAUAUUAUUUUUAAUAUUUAUAUUUAUUUGACUGAUCUAUUACAUAUAGAUAAAAUUUUAAAUAUUUGAAGUUUAAAUUUUCAUGUUCGAUUUCAUUGAAAUAAAUUUAAAAAUUAUAAAAUUAUAAAAAAUUAUAAAAAUACAUAUAUAAUAAUAAAAAAAUACAAAAUACUGGGCACAAAAACCUGGAUUAAAAAACUUGGACUGGGUGUUUAAAAAUUACAUCAGGGCCAGGUCCAAGCAUUUCGAUACUUAGACCCGAACCUGAGAUUUAACAAUUAACAAACUAACCUAUAGCACCGAGUAAAUUUUUUUUAUAAGUUUUCUCAUUUAAAAUCAUAAAUAUAAAAAAAAAAUACUUUUAAUAAUACAUAAAAAAUUAAAUUAAGUGAUUCAAAUAUAAAUUUAUAACCCCUACAAAAUUCGUGUACAAAAUUCAAUUCUAAAUUUUACCAAUGAAAAUAAGAAAUUAAAAUUCCAACAUUAAAAAAAAAACAAAAUAUACUAAAUCUGACUUACAAAAUAAAAAAGAAAAACAAUAAAUAGCUGAUAGUAAUCUACUUUACAAAUUAUUAUCAUAUCCCAAAUCAAUUUUCUAAUCAUCAAAAUCUCUAAUCAAUUGAAUUGUUUCUGUUGUUAUGGCUUCUUCUUCUUCUUCUCGUCCAUCCAGCAGUUUGAGUUCGAUGAAUAAUCCUCGAAACAAUAAGUAUGAUGUUUUCCUGAGUUUCAGAGAAGAGGAAACCAGUGAUAGCUUUACUAGCCAUCUUUAUUCAGCCUUGUGUGAAACGAGUAUCGAAACUUUCAUUGAUGACCAACUCGUCAGAGGAAAUGAAAUCUCACAGUUUCUUCUUGAUGCAAUUGAAGCAUCAAGCAUAUCAGUUAUCGUAUUCUCUGAAGGGUAUGCUUCUUCCAGAUGGUGCCUCGAUGAACUUCUAAAGAUCCUCGAUUGCAGGAAAGAGUAUGCACAGAUUGUGAUACCAGUUUUCUAUCGGGUCGAUCCAUCACAUGUGAGAAAGCAAAUUGGGAGUUUUGGGGUUUCAAUUUCGGAGCUUGAAAAAAGAUUUCCAGACAAGAAACAAAGUUGGGGGAGUGCUUUAACUGAAGCAGCCAAUCUCUCUGGCUUUGAUUCUCAUGUCUUCAGGUAGCAGUCAAUUUAUUACCAAUUUUAUAAUUAUUUUUAUUUACUCAAGUUCUAGUAUUAUAUGAAUAAUUUUAAAAGCAAAAAAACUGUCUCAAAUCCGAACUAAUUAAAAACUCUCCUUUUUGUCUCUUUUUGAACUUAAUACUAUGUUUCUUGUAUUUGCUAGGAAUGAAUCUGAACUUAUAAAGACAGUUGUUGAUGAGAUUUUGGAGAGCCUGCCUAAAGUGGUUCCAUUUGAUAACAAAAAUCAGCUAGUUGGAGUAGAAUCAAGAGUUGAGGAAAUUGAAUCUCUAUUAGCUGCUGCACCUAUAUUAGGGAUUUGGGGCAUCGGUGGUGUAGGCAAGACAACAAUUUCUAGGGUGAUUUUCAACAAAAUCUCCAGAAAUUUUGAAGGUUCCUGCUUCCUUCAAAAUGUAAGAGAAGAAUCGCAGAGCCCUGGUGGAUUAGCUAGGUUGCAGCAAAAACUUUUUAAAGAAGUAUUGAAGGAUGUAAGCGUGAUUCCUGAUAUUGACUUCAACUUUAGAAGGCUCAGCCGCAGGAAGGUUCUGAUUGUUCUCGAUGAUGUGACUAGUUUCAGACAAAUAAAAUCCUUAAUCAGAGUUUCUGAUUGGUUUCUGCCUGAAAGUCGUCUCAUACUGACCACAAGAGAUCAACAAGUCCUUAAAAAUUGGGUUGUGAAAGAGAGAGACAUUUAUGAGAUGAAAGAAUUAGAACACGAUCAUGCCCUUGAGCUUUUUAGUCGACAUGCCUUCAAACAAAACUGCCCUCCUGAAGUAGGUUAUAAGGAAUUGUCAGAGAUUGUAAUAAAUUAUGCUCAAGGUGUUCCUUUAGCACUGGAAAUUUUGGGUUGCUAUCUAUUUGGAAGGGAAAAGGAAGUUUGGGAAAGCGCAAUAAACAAAUUGAAAAGAAUUCCUAAUUUGGAGAUACAAAAUGUGCUAAAAGUAAGUUUCGAUGAUCUGGAUGAUGAAGAGAAAGAUAUUUUUCUAGACAUUGUUUGUUUCUUUAAAGGGAAAGAUAAAGACUUCAUUAUAAAAUUUCUUAAUGCUUGUGGCUUUGAUGCACAAAUAGGAAUAAGUGAUCUUGUCAAUAAGUCUCUUAUUGUCAUACACGACAACAAAAUAACAAUGCAUGAUCUGUUACAAGAAAUGGGUAGGGAAAUUGUCAGGCAAGAAUCUGUGAAAAAUCCAGGAGAACGCAGUCGGCUGUGGCACCAUGAGGAUAUUAUUGAAGUUUUGACCUUUAAUACGGUAAGCAUUUUGUUUGAGACUUUAUAUUAUUUGUGAAUGCUAUUGGAUUUGUAAACUUUACUUAUAAUUAUGUAUAAGUACAUGGGACAUAAGAUCAAUAGAAGAACUGGCAAUAAUAAAAAGGAAAAAAAAAUAUUGCAAUGUCAAUUUACAACUAAAAGUCUGGCAAACAGACAGAGAUACGUUACAAUGUCAAUUUACAUCUAAAAGUAUGGCAAAUUAACAAACAUAGAUACUUUAUAUGUUUAGUAUUGUUUGUAUUACUAUGUUUCUUUCGUACAUAGGCAUGUCCAUACUUCAUGGAUACUUUAUAUGCUUAGUAUUGUUUGUAUUACAAUGUUUCUUUUGUACGUUGGCUUUCAAUUAACUUGAACAUUAAUUUAAAUUUGAAUUUAACUUCCUGGUCUUUCAUUGAUUGUUAGGGGACCAAAAAAGUUGAGGGUAUCUGCUUUGAUAUGUCUAGAAUAAAAGAGAUCUAUCUGCAUCCAGAUACUUUCACAAAGAUGUGUAAAUUGAGAUUUUUGAAAUUCUAUAACUCUAAAGAUGAUGGAGAGAACAAAUGUAAGGUGUCUUAUUUGGUAGGACCUGGAUUUGCUGAAGUGAGGUAUCUUCACUGGUAUGGAUAUCCACUAAAAUCAUUGCCGUCAAAUAUUCAUCCAGAGAAACUUGUUUCAAUUGAAAUGCCUCAUGGUAAUAUUCAACAACUUUGGGAUGAUGUCGAGGUAUAUAAAAUCUUAAUAUUUAUGCAAUGUUUCAGUAAUAAUGUUUAAUUAUUUAUCGUACUUAAAUGCUAACAAUUUGUAUGUCUGGGCUUCUAAUUUUUUUGGAGCAGCAUAAUGGUAAGUUAAAGCAGAUAAUAAGCCGGGCCUGCAAUUUUUUCACCAAAUCUCCAAACCACUCGUUGACCCUGCAUCUGGACAAGCUAGUUAACCUCAAUCUAAACAAUUGCAAAAGCUUGAGAAUUCUUCCAGCUGGAAUAUUUCGUUUGGAAUUUCUUAAAGAACUUGAUCUUUGGGGCUGCUCAAAACUAAAAACGCUUCCAGAGAUAUCAUCAGCUGGUAAUAUAGAAGUGAUGUAUUUAAAUGGAACUGCAAUUGAAGAACUGCCUUCAUCCAUAGAAUGUCUAUCUCGGCUUUCGGCCUUAUACCUUGAUAAUUGUAAAAGGCUGAAGAGUCUCCCAAGCAGCCUAUGUAAAUUGAACUCUCUGAACUUUAUUUAUCUCAGGUGGUGCUCAAGUCUUAGGAGUUUGCCUGAUGAACUUGGAAAUUUAGAAGCUUUGGACAGUUUGAUUGCUGAAGGAACUGCUAUAAGAGAAGUGCCGUUGUCCAUUGUUGAGAUCAAUAGAAGAACUGGCAAUAAUAAAAAGGAAAAAAAAAUAUUGCAAUGUCAAUUUACAACUAAAAGUCUGGCAAACAGACAGAGAUACGUUACAAUGUCAAUUUACAUCUAAAAGUAUGGCAAAUUAACAAACAUAGAUACUUUAUAUGUUUAGUAUUGUUUGUAUUACUAUGUUUCUUUCGUACAUAGGCAUGUCCAUACUUCAUGGAUACUUUAUAUGCUUAGUAUUGUUUGUAUUACAAUGUUUCUUUUGUACGUUGGCUUUCAAUUAACUUGAACAUUAAUUUAAAUUUGAAUUUAACUUCCUGGUCUUUCAUUGAUUGUUAGGGGACCAAAAAAGUUGAGGGUAUCUGCUUUGAUAUGUCUAGAAUAAAAGAGAUCUAUCUGCAUCCAGAUACUUUCACAAAGAUGUGUAAAUUGAGAUUUUUGAAAUUCUAUAACUCUAAAGAUGAUGGAGAGAACAAAUGUAAGGUGUCUUAUUUGGUAGGACCUGGAUUUGCUGAAGUGAGGUAUCUUCACUGGUAUGGAUAUCCACUAAAAUCAUUGCCGUCAAAUAUUCAUCCAGAGAAACUUGUUUCAAUUGAAAUGCCUCAUGGUAAUAUUCAACAACUUUGGGAUGAUGUCGAGGUAUAUAAAAUCUUAAUAUUUAUGCAAUGUUUCAGUAAUAAUGUUUAAUUAUUUAUCGUACUUAAAUGCUAACAAUUUGUAUGUCUGGGCUUCUAAUUUUUUUGGAGCAGCAUAAUGGUAAGUUAAAGCAGAUAAUAAGCCGGGCCUGCAAUUUUUUCACCAAAUCUCCAAACCACUCGUUGACCCUGCAUCUGGACAAGCUAGUUAACCUCAAUCUAAACAAUUGCAAAAGCUUGAGAAUUCUUCCAGCUGGAAUAUUUCGUUUGGAAUUUCUUAAAGAACUUGAUCUUUGGGGCUGCUCAAAACUAAAAACGCUUCCAGAGAUAUCAUCAGCUGGUAAUAUAGAAGUGAUGUAUUUAAAUGGAACUGCAAUUGAAGAACUGCCUUCAUCCAUAGAAUGUCUAUCUCGGCUUUCGGCCUUAUACCUUGAUAAUUGUAAAAGGCUGAAGAGUCUCCCAAGCAGCCUAUGUAAAUUGAACUCUCUGAACUUUAUUUAUCUCAGGUGGUGCUCAAGUCUUAGGAGUUUGCCUGAUGAACUUGGAAAUUUAGAAGCUUUGGACAGUUUGAUUGCUGAAGGAACUGCUAUAAGAGAAGUGCCGUUGUCCAUUGUUGGUUUGAACAAUUUUGAUGGCUUGCAAAAUCUAACGUCUUUAUAUCUAACUGAUUGCGGCAUCACGGAGUUACCUGAAAAUCUCGGUCAGUUAUCCUUAUUACUUGAAUUGUAUCUAGAGAAAAACAAUUUUGAGAGAAUACCAGAGAGCAUCAUACAUCUUUCUAAGUUGGCAUAUCUUAAAUUGAGUUAUUGUGAGAGGCUUCAAUCCUUACCAAAGCUUCCAUGCAAUCUAAGUGAGUUAGAUGCACAUCAUUGCACGGCACUGGAAUCAUCACCGG
rnacentral:lncRNA from 1 species